ensembl:lncRNA
UCCCUCAUCUGGUUGUUCUCCUCCAGUCUCCGGCUCUUUUUCCUCUUGUGGUUCUCCAGUUUCCGGUUCUUUUUCCUCUUGUGGCUGUUCUCCUUCAGACUCCGGUUCUUGUGGUUCUCCUUCAGUACCCGGUUCUUUUCCCUCUUGUGGUUCUCCUUCAGUACCCGGUUCUUUUCCCUCUUCUGUUUGUUGUCCCUCUUCAGUCUCUGGUUCUUUUUCCUUUUGUGGUUCUUCUUCAGUCUCCGGUUCUUGUGGUUCUCCUUCAGUCUCCGGUUCUUGUGGUUCUCCUUCAGUCUCCGAUUCUUUUUCCUCUUGUGGUUCUUUUUCCUCUUGUUGUUCUCCUUCAGUCUCCGAUUCUUUUUCCUCUUGUGGUUCUUUUUCCUCUUGUGGUUCUCCUUCAGUCUCCGUUUCUUUUUCCUCAUCUUGUGGUUCUCUUUCAGUCUCCUGUGGUUCUCUUUCAGUCUCCGGCUCUUUUUCCUCUUGUGGUUCUCCUUCAGUCUCCGGUUCUUUUUCCUCUUGUGGUUCUCCUUCAGCCUCCGGUUCUUUUUCCUCUUGUGGUUCUCCUUCAGCCUCCGGUUCUUUUUCCUCAUCUUGUGGUUCUCCUUCAGUCUCCGGUUCUUGUGGUUCUCCUUCAGUCUCCGGUUCUUGUGGUUCUCCUUCAGUCUCCAGCUCUUUUUCCUCUUGUGGUUGUUCUCCUUCAGCCUCCGGUUCUAUUUCCUCAUCUUGUGGUUCUCCUUCAGUCUCCGGUUCUUGUGGUUCUCCUUCAGUCUCCGGCUCUUUUUCCUCUUGUGGUUGUUCUCCUUCAGCCUCCGGUUCUUUUUCCUCCUGUUGUUCUCCUUCAGUCUCCGGUUCUUUUUCCUCUUGUGGUUCUCCUUCAGUCUCCGGUUCUUUUUCCUCUUGUGGAUCUUUUUCCUCUUGUGGUUCUCCUUCAGUCUCCGGUUCUUUUUCCUCUUGUGGUUCUCCUUCAGUACCCGGUUCUUUUCCCUCUUCUGUUUGUUGUUCUCCUUCAGUCUCUGGUUCUUUUUCCUCUUGUGGUUCUCCUUCAGCCUCCGUUUCUUUUCCCUCUUGUGGUUCUCCUUCAGUCUCCGGUUCUUUUUCCUCAUCUGGUUGUUCUCCUCCAGUCUCCGGUUCUUUUUCCUCUUGUGGUUGUUCUCCUCCAGCCUCCGGUUCUUUUUCCUCUUGUGAUUGUUCUCCUUCAGUCUCCGGUUCUUUUUCCUCUUGUGGUUCUCCUUCAGUCUCCAUUUCUUUUCCCUCAUCUGGUUGUUGACCUUCUUCAGUCUCCGUUUCUUUUCCCUCAUCUGUUUGUUCUCGUUCAGUCUCCAGUUCUUGUGGUGC